UACGGAGGGUGCAAGCGUUAUCCGGAAUUACUGGGUUUAAAGGGUGCGUAGGCGGAUUGAUAAGUCAGAAGUGAAAGCAUUAUGCUCAACAUGAUAAUUGCUUUUGAUACUGUUAAUCUUGAAUUAGGACGAGGCUGGCGGAAUGUGGCAUGUAGCGGUGAAAUGCAUAGAUAUGCCAUAGAACACCAAUUGCGAAGGCAGCUAGCUAGACCUUAAUUGACGCUGAGGCACGAAAGCGUGGGGAGCGAACAGG
rnacentral:rRNA from 1 species